GACGAACGCUGGCGGCGUGCUUAACACAUGCAAGUCGAGCGGAGCGGCGAACGGGUGAGUAACGCGUGAGUAACUGCCCCCCUCUCUGGGAUAACAGUUGGAAACGGCUGCUAAUACCGGAUAGUGGGGGAUGACUCGCGUCCUAUCGGCUUGUUGGUGGGGUAGUGGCCUACCAAGGCGACGACGGGUAGCCGGCCUGAGAGGGCGACCGGCCACAUUGGGCUGGGAUACGGCCCAAACUCCUACGGGAGGCAGCAGUGGGGAAUAGUGCACAAUGGGGGAAAGCCUGAUGCAGCAACGCCGCGUGCGGGAUGACGGCCUUAGGUUUGUAAAGCGCUUUAAGUUGGGAGGCAGUAAUUUAAUACCUUGCUGUUUUGACGGUACCAACAGAAUAAGCACCGGCUAACUUCGUGCCAGCAGCCGCGGUAAUAC
rnacentral:rRNA from 1 species